rnacentral:lncRNA from 1 species
UAGUUAUAUAAAUGAUAUGAAUUAGUUUUUAACAUGAGCAACAUUAAUCUUAUCGUCGUUAAAGACAUUUCAAAUGCAACGACACACAUAAAAAUUACAUCACAAAUGACGCCACGCACCCGACGUGAAAUGUGGAAAUAUUGACCUUUCUGAACGGAGUUUAUAACUGAGUAUGUAAUUGAGUAUGUAAUAAAACAUUUCAGCACUGUUCGAUUGGUCAAGAUAGAGUGGUUUUAGUGGAAUUCAGCCCUUGGUGGACAUAUCGUCUGUAUUUCCCCUGUCCUGGUGAUGGUAGAGAGCUCUUCCACACCUCGUGUACAUAUCAGAAUCCGCGAGGUAGGCGACGAAUUUAUUCAGGUUUAAAACGGCAGGAAGACAGUGUUUUACAUUGUUGAAAGACAAAGAAUCGAUUUCAGAACGUGCCGUCCUGUGCUUGUUGUUUUCGACAGUUGAUGGGAGAGUCCGAUGCAUGCCAGAUACUAUCUAUUGACUUCGAACACUCUAGUGAGAAAUGUAUGCAGAAGAAAGAACCAAGUACGAUAAAUCCACGACAGGCCUAGCACAAGCAUAUACCAUGACACCACUACAGCCGCCAUGACAAAAUCAUAAUUAAACAAAUUAGACAUAAGCUAACAUGUAUAUAAUUAUACCCCAACAUACAAAGUAUAUUGGGCUAUGUUGGAGUCACGCAUGUCCAGUCCAUCCGUCCGUCCGUUCAUUUGUCCACCAUGGCCGCUGGGAUGAUUUUCAUUAAACUGACAUAAAUUAUAAACCACAUCAAGACGAUGUACAAAGGUCACAAUUCGACUGUUUGAAGAAUAAGGAGGAUUACUGUACUUGCCCUGGCGUCUGUGUCACUGUCACCGUUGCAUUGAAAGUUAAAAUUUUAGGACAAGCUUCUUAUUGUCACUAUAUCUUCUUACUACUGCCCUUUAUAACAUCAAACUUCACAUAAGUGUUGGUAUUGGUAAGGGAAAGACAUCUACAUGUAUUAGUUUAGGAACAAGUAUCCUAAAUGCCGAAGUCACUGGCUUAAAUAUUGUGAUAGUGCUGGUUAAAGUUUCAUGAUAAGCUUCUCAAUUUCACAAUAUAACCUCGCAGAAGUAUUGAUCUUAGAAUGUGGCAGAAAUCUUUUUGUUUAGGGUCAGGUUGCUCAAAGGUCAAGGUUACUGGGAUCAGAUUUUGUAACAGUGUUGGUUAAAGUCUUGUGGCACAUUUCUCAAUUUGACUGAUAUCUCAUAACGUUUCUUAGAACUGGUAUCCCUCAUGUCCUAUCCUUUUUAGCUAAACCCACACUUCAUCUACGUUCCUCCCGACACCCCCCAAAAAUACGUUCCGUACAAAAACUUAUAUUUCAUGUUUCCAUCAACUCCCCUACUCUGCUGUCUUCACCUACCUCCUCCACCCCAUUUCACCGAAUCCUUACCCUCGCCCCUAACCCCCGCUCCCUCCAUAAAAAAGAUAUAAAAAAACUCCAUUUCGAUCUCCCACACUUACUUAUAAUAAUAACAGUAUCUUGUUAAACAUUUUCUUUAUAGUCGAGCAGACACAAUUAACUCAGAUCACUAGGUCCAAGAUGAAGGUCACACCUAAAAAUCAAAAGUCAUGAUGACAACAUUUUACUUUCUUGUUAAACAUUUUCCUUAUAGUCGAGCAGACACAAUUAACUCAGAUCACUAGGUCCAAGAUGAAGGUCACACCUAAAAAUCAAAAGUCAUGAUGACAACAUUUUACUUUCCCUUUAUCAAAAUGAGGUCGACUUCAUUGAUAGCCUUAGUUAAUCAGGUGUUAGUGGCAUAAAUGUGUAACAUUUGCUUUAUUAGGGGGGUAUAGGUAUGGUCUCCGUCCGUCCGUCCGUCUGCCCGUCCGUAACACCUUCGUGUCCGGUCCAUAUUUCCUAAACCCCUUGAAGGAUAUUCAUGAA